rnacentral:rRNA from 1 species
UACGGAGGUGGCAAGCGUUGCUCGGAAUCACUGGGCGUAAAGGGCGCGUAGGCGGGGAGGUAAGUCGGGUGUGAAAUCCCUCGGCCCAACCGAGGAACUGCGCCCGAGACUGCUUCUCUUGAGUCCCGGAGAGGAAGAUGGAAUUCCCGGUGUAGCGGUGAAAUGUGUAGAUAUCAGGAGGAACAUCGGUGGCGAAGGCGGCCAUCUGGCUCAUUUCUGACGCUGAGACGCAAAAGCGUGGGGAGCAAACAGG